rnacentral:rRNA from 1 species
UACAGAGGGGGCGAGCGUUGUUCGGAAUUACUGGGCGUAAAGGGCGCGUAGGCGGCCUGCUAAGUCAUACGUGAAAUCCCUCGGCUCAACCGAGGAACUGCGUCUGAUACUGGUUGGCUUGAAUUCGGGAGAGGGAUGCGGAAUUCCAGGUGUAGCGGUGAAAUGCGUAGAGAUCUGGAAGAACACCAAAGGCGAAGGCAGCAUCCUGGGAAGCGCCUGACGCUCAUGUGCGAAAGCUAGGGGAGCGAACGGG